rnacentral:rRNA from 1 species
AUUGAACGCUGGCGGCAUGCUUUACACAUGCCAGUCGAACGGCAGCGCGGGCUUCGGCCUGGCGGCGAGUGGCGAACGGGUGAGUAAUGCAUCGGAACGUGCCCAGUAGUGGGGGAUAGCCCGGCGAAAGCCGGAUUAAUACCGCAUACGACCUGAGGGUGAAAGCGGGGGACCGAAAGGCCUCGCGCUAUUGGAGCGGCCGAUGUCGGAUUAGCUAGUUGGUGGGGUAAAGGCUUACCAAGGCGACGAUCCGUAGCUGGUCUGAGAGGACGACCAGCCACACUGGGACUGAGACACGGCCCAGACUCCUACGGGAGGCAGCAGUGGGGAAUUUUGGACAAUAGGGGCAACCCUGAUCCAGCCAUGCCGCGUGCGGGAAGAAGGCCUUCGGGUUGUAAACCGCUUUUGUUCGGGAAGAAAUCCUCUGGGCUAAUACCCCGGGGGGAUGACGGUACCGGAAGAAUAAGCACCGGCUAACUACGUG